UGAACGCUAGCGACAGGCUUAACACAUGCAAGUCGAGGGGCAGCACAGGUAGCAAUACCGGGUGGCGACCGGCGCACGGGUGAGUAACGCGUAUGCAACUUACCUAUCAGAGGGGGAUAACCCGGCGAAAGUCGGACUAAUACCGCAUGAAGCAGGGGCCCCGCAUGGGGAUAUUUGCUAAAGAUUCAUCGCUGAUAGAUAGACAUGCGUUCCAUUAGGCAGUUGGCGGGGUAACGGCCCACCAAACCGACGAUGGAUAGGGGUUCUGAGAGGAAGGUCCCCCACAUUGGUACUGAGACACGGACCAAACUCCUACGGGAGGCAGCAGUGAGGAAUAUUGGUCAAUGGCCGAGAGGCUGAACCAGCCAAGUCGCGUGAGGGAUGAAGGUUCUAUGGAUCGUAAACCUCUUUUAUAAGGGAAUAAAGUGCGGGACGUGUCCCGUUUUGUAUGUACCUUAUGAAUAAGGAUCGGCUAACUCCGUGCCAGCAGCCGCGGUAAUACGGAGGAUCCGAGCGUUAUCCGGAUUUAUUGGGUUUAAAGGGUGCGUAGGCGGCCUUUUAAGUCAGCGGUGAAAGUCUGUGGCUCAACCAUAGAAUUGCCGUUGAAACUGGGGGGCUUGAGUAUGUUUGAGGCAGGCGGAAUGCGUGGUGUAGCGGUGAAAAUGCAUAGAUAUCACGCAGAACCCGGAUUGCGAAGGCAGCCUGCCAAGCCAUUACUGACGCUGAUGCACGAAAGCGUGGGGAUCAAACAGGAUUAGAUACCCUGGUAGUCCACGCAGUAAACGAUGAUCACUAGCUGUUUGCGAUACACUGUAAGCGGCACAGCGAAAGCGUUAAGUGAUCCACCUGGGGAGUACGCCGGCAACGGUGAAACUCAAAGGAAUUGACGGGGGCCCGCACAAGCGGAGGAACAUGUGGUUUAAUUCGAUGAUACGCGAGGAACCUUACCCGGGUUUGAACGCAUUCGGACCGAGGUGGAAACACCUUUUCUAGCAAUAGCCGUUUGCGAGGUGCUGCAUGGUUGUCGUCAGCUCGUGCCGUGAGGUGUCGGCUUAAGUGCCAUAACGAGCGCAACCCUUGCCACUAGUUACUAACAGGUAAAGCUGAGGACUCUGGUGGGACUGCCAGCGUAAGCUGCGAGGAAGGCGGGGAUGACGUCAAAUCAGCACGGCCCUUACAUCCGGGGCGACACACGUGUUACAAUGGCGUGGACAAAGGGAAGCCACCUGGCGACAGGGAGCGAAUCCCCAAACCACGUCUCAGUUCGGAUCGGAGUCUGCAACCCGACUCCGUGAAGCUGGAUUCGCUAGUAAUCGCGCAUCAGCCAUGGCGCGGUGAAUACGUUCCCGGGCCUUGUACACACCGCCCGUCAAGCCAUGGGAGCCGGGGGUACCUGAAGUCCGUAACCGCGAGGAUCGGCCUAGGGUAAAACUGGUGACUGGGGCUAAG
rnacentral:rRNA from 1 species